rnacentral:rRNA from 1 species
GACGAACGCUGGCGGCGUGCUUAACACAUGCAAGUCGAACGGAAAGGCCUUGCUUUUGUGGGGUUCUCGUGUGGAGAACGGGUGAGUAACAUGUGUGUACUCUGCUCCUCAUUUUGGGAUAACUUCAGGACACUGGGGCUAAUAGCGGAUAGGAGCUCUUGCUGCUUGGUGGGGGAUGGUAUGUUUCGGCGGUUGGGGUUGGACUCGCGGCUUACCAGCUUGUUGGUGGGGUGGUGGCUAACCAAGGCUCUGAUGGGUAGCCGGCCUGAGAGGGGGACCGGCCACAUUGGGACGGGAAUACGGCCCGGACUCCUAGGGGAGGCAGCGGGGGGGAAUAUGGCACAAUGGGCGGAGCCCGAAUGCGGCAACGCCGCGUGGGGGAUGACGGCCUUGGGUUUGUAAACCGCUUUCGCCUGGGAGGAAGCGUGAGUGACGGUACUGGGAAAAGAAGCACCGGCUAACUACGUG